rnacentral:rRNA from 1 species
AUUGAACGCUGGCGGAAUGCUUUACACAUGCAAGUCGAACGGUAGAGGGGGCAACCCCUCGAGAGUGGCGAACGGGUGAGUAAUAUAUCGGAACGUGCCCAGUCGUGGGGGAUAACGUAGCGAAAGUUACGCUAAUACCGCAUACGAUCUAAGGGUGAAAGCGGGGGAUCGCAAGACCUCGCGCGAUUGGAGCGGCCGAUAUCAGAUUAGGUAGUUGGUGGGGUAAAGGCUCACCAAGCCAACGAUCUGUAGCUGGUCUGAGUGGACGACCAGCCACACUGGAACUGAGACACGGUCCAGACUCCUACGGGAGGCAGCAGUGGGGAAUUUUGGACAAUGGACGCAAGUCUGAUCCAGCCAUUCCGCGUGCAGGAUGAAGGCCCUCGGGUUGUAAACUGCUUUUGUACGGAACGAAAAGGUCUCUCUUAAUACGGGGGGCUCAUGACGGUACCGUAAGAAUAAGCACCGGCUAACUACGUGCCAGCCGCCGCGGUAA